GCCUGUUCGAGUCCACUGAAACUCUUCCUCCACUUCCACUCAGGCACCGCUGAAUUUCCUAAGCAAUCAGGUCCAGCGUAUUCGGGCAGGUAUAGACCACGACACCUUAACAAGUUAAAAUGCAAAGCCAAGUAGAACAUUAAAUCAGAGUGAAUGAGACAGCCGAUACCCAGAGUCAUCAAGUUCCUAGAAGAGAGACGAGACACCCAGUGACAUGUCUGUACAUACAGCAGGAAAACAGAUGCCGUGUAAGCUGCUAAUCAAAUAUGCUCAGCUGAAGAGGAAAUGUGCCAAACUGUGCACAGAGGAAUUUGUGCAGACACAAGAGGACAGAGAACAUUAAGAUGGAGAUGAGGAAGAUAAAAGCCGUUGGACAUUUAAAUUUAGCGUCCGAGGACAUUUACUGUUUUGCUGGAGUGUGCUAGUUCUUGAUUACAAUGUUGACAUUUUACUCGGAAUUAACCUGAUUAAAAUUGAGCGUAAAAGCCCACAGCUCAGCAUUUCUCAUGAUCACAGGAGAUGGAUUAAGAAAGAAGGCUUUCAAAUUGAAUAUACCUCUCCCUGCUCAGCCUGCUAAUUGUACCAUUUACCACUGCUUGAGUCACUGACCGACGCUAUUUAGUCAAACUAAUGAUGAUGCACAGUCCACGCCAUCCCACGAUAAUUAAAAAAAGUGCUGUCUCUUUUUCUGUAUUAGCUAUUGUAUUUUUCAA